rnacentral:lncRNA from 1 species
AACUUGAAGACGCACAUUCUAGAUACAAGUUAUCUCUUCUUCUAGCUUCCCCUGCAUUGAUUUCAUACCAAAAGAAAAAAGACACUUGUGUAGUGUGACUUGUGAGACAAAGAUCUUGUCUCACAAGCAGAACCCAAAGACCAUUCCUAAACAGUAACUAAUGUCAAUUUACAGUUACCACAAAAUUAGACUAAGAAUUGACACAAGAAAGAAAUUGGUAUAUAUCUUAACAUUUUACACCAAAGAUAAAGAUGGAUGAAGAUUAGACAUAAAAUUUGACAGACCUUGAACAUAUUAGAUAUCCAUUGCAGGUAAACCAUAUCUGACAAGUAGCAGGUGCUUCACUGCGAAUGUAAAUAGCUUUCUUGGACUGUAGAUCCCUCAUAUUCCUGCAAAAUUCAAGUUUCACAUCAGUGAUUAAUCCAUAUAUUAGAUAACAAAAAGUCUUAAGUCUACAUUUAUCAACCACCUACAUUGAGUAGUGUCUAUCAGCUGCUGCUCCCAUGACGAGUUUCGUAACUCUGCGCUGAGAUAUCAAUUGGAGGAUACCUUCCUCUACCGAAUCCGUUUCGAUAUAUAUUAUCUCUGCAGUGACCUAAUUUACAGAUUGACUGGACAUUUGGAAACAAACACUCUUGUACAAUCAAAACAAAAUGGAUAUCUAAUAAGUAACAAUACCUGCAUUUGCCUGCAUAUAUGAAGGUACUUGUCCAAAUUCUUGUGUGCUUUCUCUUUCUCUUUUUUAUGAAGCCGCAAUUUCUGGUUGUGGAUUAUCGCUCCAGCUUGAAAUGAAGAAAACAAGAUAGUCCAAAAUUAACCAAAAAUCCUUAAACUCUGCAUAAAAGGAUAGCUAAGGAAAUUAAACGACUUACGGGCUGAGAUAUUUGAUAGGUUGAUGAACAUGGACGAUACAAUACUCUUUGGCUCCACUGUUUUGUAUGGCCCAAACGAGACUAGACUUGCUCUCUAGAUCUCUCCCAGUGACUGCUAUAUAGAUCUUCUCAUCCACCAGCGUCUCUCUCAUGUCAGUUGCUACUGAAUCAGCGAUAUCUGUGCCGCAAAAUCUUAAAGAGCCAACCAAAUUCACCAUUUCGUGGAUCGGAAUCUUUGGUGUCAUAGUGACUCCUUUCCAUAUAAAAGAAACAAAGAACAAACCUAAUAUUUAGCAGAAACAAGGAAGGCUUUCAAUUACAAGACAGACACGUUACCAAAAAUCCACGUUCUGCAGCCUUAUCACAGAAGCUGAAACAUGUAAAUUAGAAUAAAGGAUAAUUCAUUACCAAGAAGCUAUCACAAGAAUCUGAAAGCGAUAGUCUCUAAUUGUGUCAAGAGUAAUGUCGACAUAACGAAAGCUAUAUCAAGACUUUGUAGAAAAGUAAAAGACAAUCUGAGGUAGGUAUUCUCUAGAAUCUGAUGUCGUCAAAGCUGUGCGUAUGCUUGCUUACCUAAGCUUCAAAUGUGCUUUUAUAAUUAUGCCCCUGAGAAGGUCAACCAACCGCUUUCUCUAACGACCUGGUCUACUCUACUUAGACGCGUAAUUCAGUCUUAAGCUUUAAGAACUUACUUAAUCAAAAGCUAACUUCUUUCCUACGAUUGGUUUAAAUAAUCUAAGGACAUGAUUAAUUUUAUUUCAUCUGAUAAAGGAUAGUUUUCAAUUAUUUCACACUCCAAUACAUAAAUUAUCAAAGCAAAGACAUCAUCAAUGAGAUCACCAUUCAAAAGUACACAACCAAUGUUUUCUUUCACUUUACGAUUGAAUCUAGAGAAUUUAUUUUUUACUAAUUAAAAAAAGUGUUAACAGAAGAACCAAAAAUAUGCUAGAGAUUCCACAAAUCACAUUAUGAAACAAACUGAUGAAGAUGAAGAACAAAGUCUAUAGAUAAAACGUACCCUCCUCGUGGACGCAUAGAGCUUUCAAGGGAUUCAAAUGAUGAAUACGAAAUCUCGAUACUCAGAUGUCCAAAUCCUCACUGAGUAUCGAGAUUUCAUGUUCAUUAGUCGAAUAUCUGGUCCGAUUCACUAUCAAUUAAGGACAGUGAGGCAGAAACAGCCGCCGUGGUUUGAUCUGGCCGGCUCCUCUAGCUCCGACGGUGGACAGUAAUGUCACUGUAGAGGAAGUAAAUAUGAACGAGAAGCAUACUGUACUGAUAGAAUUUUUAUCUUUCGAAUUUCAGUUUUAAUCCCUAAGAGUUUAUUCUUUCUAUUUUAGGUUCCUUAAUCUUGUGAUUGUAUACCUUUAGCUCCUGAACUUUGGGAUUUAGUGUUUAGCCCCUUAGGUUUUUCUUUUAAGUUUUAGUCCUUUUAACUUUUGAGUUUUUAAAAUAUAAUCUCUUAACUUUCUGAUGUUAACUUUUUGGCAUGAGAAUUUUUGAAGUCCGUGAGCCGAGGGUGUAAAUUACAAAGACUUUUAAUUUUUGGUCAAUUGCCUCAUAUCCUCACAUGUGGAACACAUACAUACACACAUCAUUUUACAAAGACAUUUUAUUUGGCCAAUGUCCCAGAUCUUGGCAUGGAGUGCAGACCGAAGUUAUUGAUAUAAAUAUAAAUGAUAUGGUCAAUGUCUCAGAUCUUGAAAUGGAGUAAGGCAGAGGUAUUGAGCUCUUUAGACCCGUACAUGCUUGAGAACUCGGCGAUGGUGGUGUCCCUAUACUUGGGAGGGUUUUGUUCUGUCAUAAGCUCUUUGAUGGGUCCAUAUACUCGAGGAUUUGCCUUCAUGACAGUGCUGAAGAAACAUGGCACUGAAACCCGCGGUUCAGCUGCUCUGUUUGCUAUCACCCUGUGCUCCACGCUUCUGAAUUUGUCAUUACUUAUAAGCUGCACUGACAAUAAUAUAUAUAAAAUAAAAAUUUCAUUAGUCUCAUUUCCGUCUAAAUCAUUUCAUGAAAAUAAAUCAAUCAAUAGAAACAAAGCAACAAUUAAUGUUACUAGUAGUUUAACUUGGAGAAGAUCUCCGACGUUAACGACAAGAGCACCAGGGACAGGAGGAACAUCGACCCAGUAUUGGUCAUCAUGAAGAACUUGAAGCCCUCCUAUAUUCCCCUGAAGAACAAUGGAUAGAAAAGAAAAAUCGGUGUGCUUGCCUAAGCCUAGAGUAAGGUCAGGCUGAGGGCACGGUGGAUAAUACUGGCCAAACAUGACUAAUGACUUGCUGCAAUCCAUGUCCUUUAGGUGAUUAGGCUUCAACCCUAGAGCCUCUGAUAGAAGCUCAAAGAGCAACUCACCUAAAUUCAUUAUUUCCUUGCUGUACUCCAUCAUAAUCUCCCUGCCAUGCACAGUAAAACUUUUGAUUCUGAUUUAAGAGCUUUUAGUGGCUCAUCUUGUAUUUUUAAAAAACUCUUUAAAAAGCCACAAAAUACUUAGGAACUUAAAAAAAAAAACUUUGUAUGGAAACCUUACCCACAAAGUGGAGGCAAGUCUUCUAAUGUGGGACAAUCCGGGGCCAUAUAGGCACACAUGGUGUCUCUCCAACUCGCCGCCUGAGCAGUGUAGAGAUCAAAAUUACUGUAGUAAACCAUUUUUCUAGUGUGAUCGCGAGAGUAGAACCGUUUCUUUAGCGCAUCGUCCUGCUCGUGAAACCCGCGAACCCCUUCCUUCACCUUCUCCAGCACGUCGAGCGGGAUCCCGUGAUUAACCACCUGGAAGAAACCCCAUUUCUCCGCGGCAUCUCCUAUCUUCUCCACCACGCUUCCCUGCGUGACUGAAUCUUGAUUCUUGUAGUACACUCCUCCUUUCAGAUCGAUGGUUGGGAUCAUGAGCUGUGAAGCUGCUGCUACUGGUGGUUUUGGGCUUGCUAAAACGACCGGAGGCGCCCGGAACAUCGCUGGAACCUCUGAGAUUCCAGAAUCAACAAGGCCUUUCACGCCUCUCAUCGUCUCCUCGAAAGAUUUUAGUUGAGUAUAACGAUCAGUUGCAAUGGUUGAUGCUGAAUCCAUUUGUUGAUUUUUUUUUCUUGCUUUCUACGAUUUACAACUCAGGCUUUUAUAUACUCAAAUGUAUACUAACAAGAAUUCAAUUAUUCGUGAAUGAAUGAUGAUAUACAUACUAGUUUUAGUGUAUUUUUUAAUACUUAUUAUAAUGACUUCAAGCCUUCCAAAGCAUCAAAACCAUUAUUAAGAAAUAUAAUAUACUGAUCAUCAAGUGUUGUAUCAUGAGCACUCAUGACCUGUCUCUUAUAUUAAACGUCAUGAGGGAAGAUUAGUUCAGUCUCCACUAAUUCUAACAUAUAAUUCAGUCUUUUUAUAAAAUACUAUGAACAUAUCUAUAUAUAGUAUAUACAUGUGUAACCACCCAAUUAAAGAAUGACCAUACCAACAAAACUGGUAGUAUAGAGUAACAACUAUUAACUACGAAGCAUAUGUGUUGUACCGCUCAGUGCAUAAAUAUAUAUUAAGAAAAUCAGGGAAAUUUGAAUUGAAAAAAUUUAAAAUGUUUUGAUUUAUGAUCUCUGAUUAAUGCGAAUCACAUGAUCUGUUCAAUGAUUCUGGAACUUGAAGCCAUUCUUGGAUUGCGGAUCGAAGAGCAAGAUUUGGAACUAAGGUCGUGUGAGGAAGCCUUUUGUUUAUCAUUGGAGAAGUCUCGUGUCCUCUCUCGAACCAACCCCUUAUUGCUUCUCCUUCAUAUGUAAAACCAUCUGCUGCUACAUGUGGAUCCUCCAUUAUAUCCUGCAAGUAUCACAACACAAAUAACCGUUUCUCUCUUUUAAUUUAUAGCAUUUUUGAUUAUUUAGUAGCUUUCUUUCAUCUUUUGUAACGUCUCUUUUACCUGUGUAAUGGGACAGAUGAAGUACUGAGGCGGUUCACGGUGGUUAGAGGGAGACGCUUCCUCUUCCUCGUGCUUACUCUUCAGCUUUGAUACUUCUCUGAGCUCUAUCUUCAACUCUUCUUGUUCUUCUCUGAGUAUUCUCAACGCUUCCUUUGAUAAGCUAUACUUGUCUUUAAGCUUUCUUAUCACCAUAUUAGAUUCAGCUAUUUGGAUCUCGUAUUCUGAUCUCAUCUUUUCAGUGUCUCCUUUUACUUCCCUCAGAGCCUUAUCUAUUUCUUUCCUACGCUUCAACUCCUCGAAGUACACAGUUUCCCAUUCUUUAGCCUGCAAUUUUGAGUUAUAAAAGUUUGAUACUAAUUCUAAGCAAACACACUUGUUAACAGAAACUUUUGGUACCUUUUUGAGUGCAUCAACUGUGGAUUUUUCAGCUUCAUCACGCUUAGAUGCCUCAAAGCGUGCUUUCCUUUUCGAAUUCUCAGCUUCUGUGACAAUUACUUUGAUCCCAUCAUCAUUUUUAACCAUACUAUAGCUUGGAGCACUUUCAUUUUCUUUAGUGAUCUCGGAUUGUCUCAAAGAAAUUGGCGAUGCAGAUUCUAGAUACAAGUUCUCUGUUCUUCUAGCUUCCCUGGAUUGUAGAUUUAUAGUAUGACUUGUGAGACAAGUAAAACUCAAAGACCAAUCCUGAACAGUGACUAUAUAAUAGUACUGUAUGUUCAGCUAACAAAAAAGAUGAAGAAUUGACUUAAUUAGCCAAACCUUGAACAAAUUAGGUAUCCAUUGCACGUAAACCAUAUCUGACAAGUAACAGGUGCUUCUCUGUGAAUGUAAAUAGCUUUCUUGGACUGUAAGUUUCUCAUUCUC